rnacentral:lncRNA from 1 species
GCUUUUAUUGUUUAAAGAAAAUAUAACAAAAAUAAAAAAAAACUGGGUAAAGUAAGACUUUCUCUUUCUAAUACACAUUACUUUCAAUACAUACCUUAAUACAAUUUUUUUUUCACAAUUUGUCAAACAUCAAUUUCAAAAAAAGGUAAUGGAGGUAAAUAAAAUACAAGUAUGCUUCCUCAUAUCAAGUCUUUGGCAAUAGAAGGCAAAACUGCAUCUUCCCCUUAAAACACAUCAAGAAAAUGGUGUUAAAUUAAAUUGUUUUGGAAUUUUAUUCAAUAGAAUUAACUUGAUCACAAAUUUGAAAUUCAAUCUAAGGGUUCUGAAUUUCAACUGAAUCUUAAUCAUUUAAUAUAAAUAUCAAAUGGAAAUUAUAUGUUUCUUUGUGUCGAAUGAACCUCAAACUUGUCAAAAACAAUCUUAAAUAUCUCUCAAAUUAUAUUCAUCAUUAGGUAUUCCACUUUGGCAUGUCAGUAAUUCCAUCUUAUUUAAUAAAAAUAAUAUUUAUCUUUAAACAUAUGGCCAUCAAAUUUGUUCCUUCAAGAAAGUAAAAUAGCAGAAAACAUAAAAAAAACAACGGCAAUAAUACAUCAUCAAAAUGAUUUUUCUAAAUCAUCUGAUAUUAGUGUUACAUACCAGAAAAAGAAGAAUAAGGGGCAUAACCUUUCUAUCAGACUUUCCAUGUGGUAUCUCAUAACUCAAAAUGUAAGCAUGAAAAUACAGUCUCAAAAUAUCUGUUUAAAUUAAAGAUAGUUAGAUUUCUUUAAGAAAACAGGAUAAAUUUUAAUUUUUUCCUGUCAAAAGUAAUUGUGUGCUUAAAAUAUUUUUGUUUAAAUUAAUGAAAAAAACAACAUAUAUUAUUCAUAUAAAAAUAAGAAGAUGUAGUAUGAUUGCCAUGUACAACAAUCCACAAGAGUUCAAAUGAUGAAAUUAUAUUUUUGUUCAUGGAUAGUUCAGACUGAAGAUAUAGUUUACCAGAAAAACAGAAAAAUUAGGUCAAACUGACCAUCUAGAAUGGAAUAAUUUUUCUGGCUUGAGGUUGGACAGGUCUCUGACAGGUACUUAAAUACAACAUGUACAUAUAUACAUUGUAAAAUAAAUUAUAAAAUGAUUGGUGCUCUGUGCAAACUGACAUUAUAUAAAGGUAAAACCAAGAAAAAUAAUAAAACUGUUACAACAUCAGAACAAGGCUUAGGUCUUGUUUACUCUGAGGUUACAAGAGCGCAAUUAUUUGUAAUGCAUUUUCCAUAGGGUACCAGUGGUAUUUCAUAUUUUAUUUCUCAAAGACUACACAAACUAUGUAGUUCCUGUAAUAAAAUGUACUAGAAAUGCCAGUGUUGCAUAACAGCCAAAAAUAUGUAUAGACAUGAUGCAAAAUUUGACUUAAAAUGCAGUUGAAAACAAUUGUCUUUUUUCACUCUCUUAAUGAAAAAGGAAUAUUUUUAAUGGCUACAAUGUGCAGAAAUGGAAGAUAUUUUCUACACUUUGUAAAAUGUGAAAUUUGAUUUUGUGGAUUAAAACAUAAUUAGAUAAGCUUUUCGUUUAAAAGUAAUUCCAAUCUGUAUCAUCCAAUCAGAUGCUGAACAGGAUUCUAUUUUAAGUACCAUAUUAGGGUAAAACAAGAAUGUGUUCCCCAGUACAUUGAUACCCCAUCUGCACUAUCAUUUUCUAUGUUCAAUGGACCAUGAAAAUGAGGGAAAAUCUCUAAUUUGGCAUUAAAAUUAGAAAGAUCAUAUCAUAGGGAACAUGUGUACUAAGUUUCAAGUUGAUUGGACUUCAACUUCAUCAAAAACUACCUUGAUUAAAAACUUUAACCUGAAGCGGGACAGACUCAUGGACGAACAGACGAACGAACAAACUCAUGAACGAACGGACGAAAGAACGAACAGACAGACAGACGCACAGACCAAAAUAACAUAAUACCCAUAAAUGGGGCAUAAUAAAUGGGGCAUAAAAAACUUACAAAAGGGACAGUAAAAUGUUAACAAAUAAUUGCGCUCUUGUAACUCUAAGCAACAAUCAUAUCAGUAGAAAAAGGGAGAUAAACCUAUGAAAUACAGGUUACACUUUAACAAGAUAUUAUUUCAAUACUUUCAUUAUUUUCAAAUAUGAAAUCGUUUGUUUUUUCAUUGUCUGCUUGUUUGGCAGUAACAGAACUUUCAUUAAAUCUUACAACAGAUUAUACAAAUCUUAAUGAAAUAAUACCUUGUUAUAUAUCAUAACAUUAAAAUUAAAAAAAAAAUGGGAAUUUUCAGCUAUAUUCAAAUAUUUCAAAUAUAAUAAGACUUGAGUGACAACAAUAAUAAACAAAC